rnacentral:rRNA from 1 species
UACAGAGGGGCGAGCGUUGUUCGGAAUUACUGGGCGUAAAGGGCGCGUAGGCGGCCUGCUAAGUCGAACGUGAAAUCCCUGGGCUCAACCCAGGAACUGCGUCCGAUACUGGUUGGCUUGAAUCCGGGAGAGGGAUGUGGAAUUCCAGGUGUAGCGGUGAAAUGCGUAGAUAUUCGGAAGAACACCAGUGGCGAAGGCGGCUCACUGGCCCGUUACCGACGCUCAGGCGCGACGAGCGAUGGGGAGCAAACAGGG